UGUCAGCAGCCGCGGUAAUACGGAGGAUCCAAGCGUUAUCCGGAUUUAUUGGGUUUAAAGGGUGCGUAGGCGGCGUUGUAAGUCAGUGGUGAAAGUUUGCAGCUUAACUGUAAAAUUGCCAUUGAUACUGCAGUGCUUGAGUACAGAUGAGGUGGGCGGAAUGUGUCAUGUAGCGGUGAAAUGCAUAGAUAUGACACAGAACACCGAUUGCGAAGGCAGCUCACUAAACUGUAACUGACGCUGAGGCACGAAAGCGUGGGGAUCAAACAGGAUUAGAUACCCUGGUAGUCCACGCCCUAAACGAUGAUUACUCGAUGUUAGCGAUAUACAGUUAGCGUCAAAGCGAAAGCGUUAAGUAAUCCACCUGGGGAGUACGCCGGCAACGGUGAAACUCAAAUGAAUUGGCGG
rnacentral:rRNA from 1 species